GACGAACGCUGGCGGCGUGCCUAAUACAUGCAAGUCGAGCGAAUCUUUGGGAGCUUGCUCCCUUGAGAUUAGCGGCGGACGGGUGAGUAACACGUGGGUAACCUGCCUGUAAGACUGGGAUAACUUCGGGAAACCGGAGCUAAUACCGGAUAGUUUCUUUCUCGCAUGAGAGAAGAUGGAAAGAUGGUUCUGCUAUCACUUACAGAUGGACCCGCGGCGCAUUAGCUAGUUGGUGAGGUAAUGGCUCACCAAGGCCACGAUGCGUAGCCGACCUGAGAGGUGAUCGGCCACACUGGGACUGAGACACGGCCCAGACUCCUACGGGUGGCAG
rnacentral:rRNA from 1 species